rnacentral:rRNA from 1 species
AGUGAGCGCUGGCGGUAGGCCUAACACAUGCAAGUCGAACGGCAGCACAGUAAGAGCUUGCUCUUACGGGUGGCGAGUGGCGGACGGGUGCGGAAUACAUCGGAAUCUACUUUUUCGUGGGGGCUAACGUAGGGAAACUUACGCUAAUACCGCAUACGACCUACGGGUGAAAGCAGGGGAUCUUCGGACCUUGCGCGAUUGAUUGAGCCGAUGUCGGAUUAGCUAGUUGGCGGGGUAAAGGCCCACCAAGGCGACGAUCCGUAGCUGGUCUGAGAGGAUGAUCAGCCACACUGGAACUGAGACACGGUCCAGACUCCUACGGGAGGCAGCAGUGGGGAAUAUUGGACAAUGGGCGCAAGCCUGAUCCAGCCAUACCGCGUGGGUGAAGAAGGCCUUCGGGUUGUAAAGCCCUUUUGGUUGGAAAGAAAAGCAGCAGGUUAAUACCCCGCUGUUCUGACGGUACCCAAAGAAUAAGCACCGGCUAACUUCGUG